rnacentral:rRNA from 1 species
UACGUAGGGUGCAGGCGUUAAUCGGAAUUACUGGGCGUAAAGCGUGCGCAGGCGGUUUUGUAAGUCUGUCGUGAAAUCCCCGGGCUCAACCUGGGAAUUGCAUCUGUGACUGCAUAGCUAGAGUACGGUAGAGGGGGAUGGAAUUCCGCGUGUAGCAGUGAAAUGCGUAGAUAUGCGGAGGAACACCGAUGGCGAAGGCAAUCCCCUGGACCUGUACUGACGCUCAUGCACGAAAGGCGUGGGGAGCAAACAGG